rnacentral:misc_RNA from 1 species
GAUGGAAGAACGUAGCGAACUGCGAUAAGUAAUGUGAAUUGCAGAAUUCAGUGAAUCAUCGAGUCUUUGAACGCACAUUGCGCCCCCUGGCAUUCCGGGGGGCAUGCCUGUCCGAGCGUCAUUGCUGCCCUUCAAGCCCGGCUUGUGUGUUGGGUCGUCGUCCCCCCCGGGGGACGGGCCCGAAAGGCAGCGGCGGCACCGCGUCCGGUCCUCGAGCGUAUGGGGCUUUGUCACCCGCUCGAUUAGGGCCGGCCGGGCGCCAGCCGGCGUCUCCAACCUUCUAUUUUACCAGGUUGACCUCGGAUCAGGUAGGGAUACCCGCUGAACUUAAGCAUAUCAAUAAGCGGAGGA